rnacentral:tRNA from 1 species
GGAGAGUUGGCCGAGCGGUUUAAGGCGCUAGUUUCGAAAACUAGUGGGCGCAAGCCCGCACAGGUUCGAAUCCUGUACUCUCCG